AUGGUCGCUAGGCAACCCCGCCUGGGGAACGUUCCACGGUUGCUAGGCAACCAAGGGAGCUGUGUAGGGAAAGCGGAUGGAGGAGAGAGAAUGCAAGGCUGUCCCCAAGUCUUCCUUGAAGUUUGGACUGAAACCCGGAGUGGACCUCCCCAGCGGCCACCAUGGAAGCCGCUCCAAGGGGCCCAAGGCACGUUGUACGUUCCUCCUCCGGUGCAAGGCCAAAGCGGUCGGGAUGCUGGGCCAAGGACCAUUGCGACUUCCUCUUGGACGCCAUCGAUGCCCAGCUCUGCCACUUGCAAGCUCAAGGAUCCCCCGUGGAAAUCAACCGCAGCCAUGGGGCUGCUCAGGGAACGGUGGUUGUCUGCCAUCCAACUGACAGCGCUGUCUCUGCAGUGGAAGACUCUCCGUCGGAGGAAGGGGCCCAGGAAGAGGCUCAUGGUCCUCGACUUGCAAGGCGACCAGAGUGGGUUGGACUCCGUCUGCACCGAAGAACUGGCUGCCGUGUUUCAGGCCGGAUGGUUGAUCCGCGGCUGAAUUCUGAGAGCGAGG
rnacentral:lncRNA from 1 species